rnacentral:rRNA from 1 species
GACGAACGCUGGCGGCGUGCUUAACACAUGCAAGUCGAACGGAAAGGCCCUGCUUUUGUGGGGUGCUCGAGUGGCGAACGGGUGAGUAACACGUGAGUAACCUGCCCUUGACUUUGGGAUAACUUCAGGAAACUGGGGCUAAUACCGGAUAGGAGCUCCUGCUGCAUGGUGGGGGUUGGAAAGUUUCGGCGGUUGGGGAUGGACUCGCGGCUUAUCAGCUUGUUGGUGGGGUAGUGGCUUACCAAGGCUUUGACGGGUAGCCGGCCUGAGAGGGUGACCGGCCACAUUGGGACUGAGAUACGGCCCAGACUCCUACGGGAGGAAGCAGUGGGGAAUAUUGCACAAUGGGCGGAAGCCUGAUGCAGCAACGCCGCGUGCGGGAUGACGGCCUUCGGGUUGUAACCCGCUUUCGCCUGUGACGAAGCGUGAGUGACGGUAAUGGGUAAAGAAGCACCGGCUAACUACGUG